UUGUACUCCACUGAGGAAAUU
rnacentral:piRNA from 1 species